rnacentral:rRNA from 1 species
UCGCUCCUACCGAUCGAAUGAUCCGGUGAAGUUUUCGGACUGUCGCUGUGCUCUCGGUUCGCCGGGGGCUAGUGGCGGGAAGUUACCUAAACCUUAUCAUUUAGAGGAAGGAG